AAGCGUACGUAAAUUUCAUCCGUCUAAUUGGCUAUACAAAUGCUUGUGCAAAACAACUUUUUGUGCUGCCCUGAUUAUACAUAGCAGGGUAAUCCCUUUUCACAGGAGCUAGGACGGCAAUUUCUGAUGAAGCAAUUGCUGGCGAUCUGUUGCUACACAGUUCUGCCAGAAUUCUAUCAGAUUUGGGCAGUAGAUGUUGAUGCACCAUUUUGCAUUAUGUUCAAAGUAGCUUCUGGAAUGUGGUGAAUUGCUGCAAUCUGUUGCUGUCUUUUUAAACCGGUUGCUUUCUUUCCCCAGCAAACACUCUUCUUUGGAGGCAUAAUAUAUGUACAUAUUAAACAGAACAACAAAAGUUAUAACAGAUGGCAGGUAUUGUAGGGUCAGUUGGGCACCGUCUGUGAGAAAAACAGCACCAUGGCACAAUUCACUCAGCCAGAAAUUUCAAAACAUGCUGUACUACUUGGCAUUUGUGCCAGAAGCUCCAGUAUGAACGUUUCAGAGUGUUUGGGUGUGUCAAUAUGACGACAGUACAUUUUGAGGACAUGUAUCAAGAGUGAUAGAAAUCAAACAUCAUGGUGUUUGAAGUGAUCACUAGUGAUGGCAAUGAUAUGCUUUCAUUCAUUUUCUCACAUGGCCUCAGACUCAACAUGGAGGUCUACAUCAAAUGCCUGGAGGAAGUAGUGCUGCCCUGGGUCAAGAAGGUGGCUGUUGGAAGACCCUGUGUCUGGUAACAGGACUCUGCACCUUGCCACAUAAGCAGGAGAACCCAGUCAUGGCUGUCAGACAAUUUCUACGACUACAUCACCCCUAACAUCAGGCCACCUAGCUCCCCAAACUGCAAGCCCCUUGAUUAUUAUGUGUGGGGCACAGUUGAGUGAGAGAUCAACAAAACUCCUUGUAACAACAAAGAUGAACUGAAGGCAAGGGUUAUGACAGCAUUCACCAACAAGGAAACUUUCCAGAAGAGUUGCAGGAUAUUUUGAAGUCAUCUGGAGUGUGUGGCUGAAGCCAAUGGCGAUUUUAUUGAAUAAAUUUACUCUUUUACUAUUUCAAGAUAUUUUUAUGUAAUUUUGGUAAAUAUAUCUGUUAAAAUGA